UUAAGAUCUUCUCUGGUAAGCCACCUCGUGGGCUACACAGAUUAUUAGAAAUGGGUUAGAUUAAUAUGUAAGAGCUAGCCAGUAAGAGGCUACAGAUAACGGGCCAGGCAGUGUUUAAAAGAAUACAGUUUCCGUGUAAUUAUUUCGGGCAUAAGCUAGCCAUGCGGGCGGCCGGGUGCCGAGGACGCAGCCCCGCCGCUCCUAUCUCUACAUUAAUCCACAUGCAUUGCUCAAUAGAUGUCAAGAAGAAGCUCAGACAGUGAGUGUUCGGAUCAAAUGCACUGAUAGACUUCACAGCGGUGCCCAGAGUCAGAGAUCUGAGAGCUACACACAGGAAAUAGUGGAGAUAGCGAGGAAGAGCGACAAUUUCCCGUGAAGGAAAAGAAUCAGAUUAUAUAUACAGCAGGAGAGACAGCAAUCUUUUUUGAAACAAACUGCACCCUCUUUCCCUGUCAUUGACCUGGCAGCAGUUCACUGACAGGGCACUGCUGAUUGAAGGCUGGUGAAACAGCAUGGGGCCUCCCACGUGAUGUGGACAUGCACCAGGCUGCAAUGCUGCAGAGUCCUCCCAUGUGAUAUGGACAUGCACCAGGCUGCACACGCUGCAGAGUCCUCCCAUGUGAUGUGGCAUGUGCCAGGCUGCAAUGCUGCAGAGUCCCCCUACAUGAUGUGGACAUGCGCCAGGCUGCACACGCUGCAGAGUCCUCCCACGUGAUGUGGACAUGCAAUGCUGCAGAGUCCCCUAGGGACAAGGGGACCUGAGUCCAAUCAGAGAGGAUUUUCCACACACCGAAGUCUGCUUUAUCUUUCAGUGUCCCAGGGUCGGAGCUCUCCUGGACACACUGAUGCCUGUGAAGAAGGAAACCAGCCAUCUGAAUGAAAUUUCCCAACAUCUCUGAUCACUUCGAGUGUAAGAAGGGGACAGACUAUCUCACAGAAAUAGUUGGUGAGCUCAAUUUCCCUGAGCAAAUCAUGAGCUUCAAAUAAAUGUCCAGGUAUGAUAAGUCUCUCAACAGAUUUGCAUGCGAUUCCAAAAUUAGAUCAGCUGAGCACUAAGAACCCCAGUGCACACUAGUAAGCAUCAGGGAAACCAGACCAAAGUCUGCAAACGAGCCUCUACCCCGCAAGCCAGUUCCCCACUGUUGAUCGAGGUCUGAAAAGGAGGAAGCAAUGAAGAGGAACCACAGUCCUUCUUCCUCCCUGCGGCUGAUUGCACAGAACGAGUGGGAUACCACAAAGACGUGGGGUCUCUUUUCCCACCCCAAAGAUACGUAGGCUGCUUUUGUAAUUUGCUUGCCCUGGGAAGGUGAAAGAGGUGUCAGCUGUGAGCCUUGCGGGGACCACGCAGAGGCUUCUCAGCACGGCCCCAUCGCCGAGAGAGACCCCGUGGAGCAGAAAGUUAUACAGGUUAUAACCUACCAGCCCCGGCUGCUCUGCCAGCUGCCCACAGAGGCGUGAAUAAGCGCAAGCGCAAAGCUGUGGAGCCCAGUCACGGCCGGAACCGCCAAGCUAAGCCCAGGCUGAACUGCUGAACUAUGGUUUGCUUUAGAUCACCAGGUUUUGGAGUAGUUUAUUAAACAGCAGCAGCUAAGCCACAGUUCCGCGCAUCUCCGUGAGUCACACAGCCCAGAAAGUGGCCUAAAGAAAGUACUUUCCUCAAAGAAAGUUAAAGUUUUAUAGACUCGCUGAAGUCGGUGCUGCCGAAAGCGCCGAUCCACAAGGGGCGAGGGCUGAUGGUGGAGUGCAAAGCUACGCAUCCCGUCUUCCUCCAGAGGGUCUUCCUGCGGAGAAAGAGCAUCGGCUGGAGCAGACAGAGUGCGCGCUGACACGGCUGGCUUAUUAUAUUCUGGUGCAGGGUCCUAAUGUUGAUGCUAGCCGGCAGGAAGUAGUUCACAGGCCAGCUGCAGUUUAUGGAUAAUGAUGGAAAAUGUAUUUUCUGUGAAAGGCUCAAUAGUAAUAAUUUUUAUGCCUCGAGGGCCAUAUAGGCUAUGUUAAUUUUAUUAUAUGUGGAAGCACCCAUACCCUGGACGUUGUACACUGAACAAGCACGGCUGUGUUCCAAUAAAGUUAUUUUAUUUUAUUUUUUUAUUAUUUAUUUUGGUUUUUUCGAGACAGGGUUUCUCUGUGGC